CGAGCAAGGCCGCGUGAACGAUGAAGUAUUUCGGUAUGUAAAGUUCUUUUAUUGAAGAAGAAAAAAUAGUGGAAAAACUAUCUUGACGAUAUUCAAUGAAUAAGCCCCGGCAAACUAUGUGCCAGCAGCCGCGGUAAUACAUAGGGGGCGAGCGUUAUCCGGAAUUAUUGGGCGUAAAGGGUGCGUAGGCGGUUUGGUAAGUCUAUAGUUUAAUUUCAGUGCUUAACACUGUUCUGCUAUAGAAACUAUCAGACUAGAGUGAGAUAGAGGCAAGUGGAAUUCCAUGUGUAGCGGUAAAAUGCGUAAAUAUAUGGAGGAACACCAGAGGCGUAGGCGGCUUGCUGGGUCUUUACUGACGCUGAGGCACGAAAGCGUGGGGAGCAAACAGGAUUAGAUACCCUGGUAGUCCACGCCGUAAACGAUGAGUACUAAGUGUCGGGGAAACUCGGUACUGAAGUUAACACAUUAAGUACUCCGCCUGAGUAGUACGUACGCAAGUAUGAAACUUAAAGGAAUUGACGGGACUCCGCACAAGCGGUGGAUCAUGUUGUUUAAUUCGAAGAUACACGAAAAACCUUACCAGGUCUUGACAUACUCUGCAAAGCUAUAGCAAUAUAGUGGAGGUUAUCAGGGAUACAGGUGGUGCAUGGUUGUCGUCAGCUCGUGUCGUGAGAUGUUAGGUUAAGUCCUAAAACGAGCGCAACCCUUGUCACUAGUUGCCAGCAUGUUAUGAUGGGCACUUUAACGAGACUGAAAA
rnacentral:rRNA from 1 species